CCAUUUUGUUCAACCAGCAAAGCCCAAGUGAUUCAAGCUCAGGCCCAAUUCCAUUGCAAGCUUAAGGCCCACUUGAACUCAAGCCCAGUCCAAUUUCAAAAGCAAAUCUCAGAUUUGGGCUGAGAUUUGUUGGGCUAAGUUUAGGCCCAGCCCAAGUUUGUCGACGCCGCCAAAAAUUUCGAUUUUGGCCGCCAUCGAGUCGUCGUCGCGGUGAACCGGUUUCCGCAAUUAACCGGGUCGUCGAGUGGAGGACCUGGAGCUGAGAGGAUGUGAUCGGAAGCAUAGGUCAGUUAGGACCGCUUCUUUUUGGAAGGCCAGUCUUUUGUAGUCUUUGGCCAUAGACCUGUGUUCAUGACUCAGUGUAUAUAUAAAAGCAUGUUUGUGUAUGAAUCUAUUAUUCUGCUUUUCUAUC